CCCUUAGAUGUUCUGGGCCGCACGCGCGCUACACUGAUGCAUUCAACGAGCCUAUCCUUGACCGACAGGUCCGGGUAAUCUUUGAAUCUGCAUCGUGACGGGGGUAGAUUAUUGCAAUUAUUAAUCUUCAACGAGGAAUGCCUAGUAGGCGCAAGUCAUCAGCUUGCGUCGAUUACGUCCCUGCCCUUUGUACACACCGCCCGUCGCUCCUACCGAUUGGGUGUGCUGGUGAAAUGUUCGGAUCGGCCGUUUGUCGCGGUUUCCGCGGCUCGUGGCUGAGAAGUUCAUUAAACCCUCCCACCGAGAGGAAGGAGAAGUCGUAACA
rnacentral:rRNA from 1 species